AUCCUCAAAGAUUGAGGGAAUAUUGAGGCAUAUGAGCUCACCACAAAAACCAAGAAAUCCUCCCCUUUCUCCCUCAAACUUUCGGCCCCCUCCCCCAUUCUCUCCCUCACACUUUUUUCUUCUUGUUCCUCCAUUUUUGACAAAGGACAAUGCUUCCAAGACUUUCCCUUUUCACACCCACCAACUAAAGAAGUGCCUCAAGCCUUUCCAAACUUCAAGUUCAAGCAUCAAGUAGGAAAAGCUUCAAGAAAUCCUAAGCAUCAUCUAUUCCAUUUUCCUUGGUUUUCUUGGAGUAAGCUGCUAAUAUUCCUUUUGUGGGUAUAUAAGUAUGAUAUGAGUUAUGCAUGUGUGUUUUGAAGCAUGAAAAAUCAUUCCCCUCAUGUUCAUGGAAUUUUCAAAAAACAUGGUCCUUGAGGAAACAAAAAAUUUGCAAGUUAAGCAGCGGUAGGUGGUGAUGAAGUGACAAGCGGGAUUUAUUUUGUCUUAGUCUUAUGUAUUAAUGAACUCUUGGGGGUACAUGUCUUCAUACAUGUAAUCAGAACCCUUAUUCCGCUGUGUACUCAGAAAUCUUAUGUUAUUUUGGCUAAGUCGGAGCUAUUCGAACUUACUAGCUUA